GCAGCCUGGCUGACUCUUCGUCCAAUCCUGUGCGCGUCUCCUCCCGCACCGCACGCGACGUGCGUUCCCGAGCCGACCGAACCUAGCACCCUCUCGUCUCCUCCUCUCUCUUCCUCCUCCCUCCACCUUCCCGGCUCUCCACUUCACAUCGGCAGUAAGAUGCUGGCUGCGGCGGCGGCAGCGGCGGCGAGCAUUGGAGCGACUGCGGCGCCUGGACGCUGUGCACUAGCCGAGUUGGUCGAUGGUGAGGAACGGUUGUGCUCAACAUCGUCCUCCAAUUCGUUCUCCCCAACCACCCAUGGCUUCCGGCACAAUCAAAUCGGCCAUGGCAAGGAAGGCCGACAUCUGGUACGGUACGCCAUGACCUCACCUUCCUCUUCCACUCCCCACCGACUACCACCAAGCAUGGAGAUAGAUCGAUGGACGAUCGCAUCGGCUGCAGUGGGGGAAGUGGAAGGGGACUUCCUCGAGAAUCUUGCCGAGACGUGUGCAGAUCUGAGGACAAAGGGAAGAAUAAGAAGAAUUUAGCCAGAGAUUUGAAGAAGAUCAAGGUGAUUUUUCUCCCUCCUGUUAAGCUUUGUUAUCUCAUUUUGAUGCUACUGUUUGUGAUUGAUGUAAACAUGAGGAAGAUAAGAGAUCACAACGAGGCUAAAUGAGGUUUGUGGUGACCAAAAUUCUUUCUUUGUUUACCUACAGAUCUUGAUUGCACUAUUGAUUCUCUACUAUUGUCCUUUCCUAAAGGAAGAUGCCGAGUCAUGUAACAUCUUCAAAGAAGAGAGAAUCUGCAUUUUAUUCAUGUGCUUUCAGUUAGGGUGGAUUUGUGUUUUCAGAAAUGAGGCAACCUUACAUGUACAUAUUCACAUAUUUCCUUUAUAACACUACCAGCAGACAUGAGUUCUUGUGUUUUUAUAGCUUCAUGGAAACAGGAUUUGGUGCUGCCCAGUUAGUCUUUUUUUUGCAGAUAUAUUUCCUUUAUCACUCCCCCAGCAGACGUGAGUUCUUGUGGCGGGGUCUUUCAUGCCGUCAUGUUAGGAAUUUAUUAUUGGAUUGUAGAUGAGGUCCUUCUUCAGUUCAGCUACGCCGGGCACUGUUUCCACUUCUUGUUUCGUACUUAAAUUCAGCUGCCCAUUUUGGAUUUAAGGUUGGAAGAACUGUUCUGUUUCUGCAUCUGCAACCUGCUGCUGAUGCUCAAGAUUUGCUCUCCUUUUCCAAUGCAUGGGUCGUCUUAUUUUUCAGUCUCGUGUGACUUCCGUUUUAUGCUUAUAUUUGGUGGUUGCGUGUGAGCGGGAUGUCUGCUCUUAUUUCGACCGUUAUACCUGUUUUGCAAGCCUGGUGCCUUGGUGUGCUUUGCCGGCGCUUUCGUACCUACGUACGGUCGCAGAAGAUGUGUCUGUUCUUGCUGGGGUAGAACAGGAGCUUCCAGGGGAUGGUUCUUGUCCAGUUUCUUACUAUACACUCUUGCUAUUUUGAAUAGGUAGUACAUGAUGAAGUGGUAGGCUGGAAGAAGUCCAAAGCCACUUUUCGUCAGAUGCGAUAUAUUACACUGAGUAUGAGAAUUCAUAGCAUCGUUGUGAGGCCAUGCCUCCGAUGGUCAAAAUCCCUUACAUGAUGAUGUUGGAUGUUCUUUUAGAAAUUGUACAGCUUCCAGCAGCAGAAUAUCGAAGCAAAGUAUGGGAUGGCAAUAUAGUAUGUGUGACUGUUUUUUUUCAUAUGCCCGCAUCAUAUGUUGAAGAUGAUGGCAGUCAUAUGGCUAUUCCUGGAAUUCAGUGUUUCGAUCAUGCAAUGUCGGAGGACACAGCUGCUAUGGAAGCAAGUGGAUACAUAAAAUGCAUAGCUAAGACCGAAAUAAGGACUACAAUUACAGCACCAUGAAGAAACUGGAUGAAGAAAAUCAGUCUCUAAAGCAUGAGCUGGCUGUAGCCAAGUAGUAUAACAGAAAUAAAAUGAAGGUGAAGACCAGGUCCAUCAAGAACAGGCUGGUACUAGCUAAGUAUAAGAGCAAGAAAACUACUAUGGACUGGUUCUUUCUAACAAGAUACAUGCAUGGAUUCUUCGAUCAUAUAUCCAAUGUAAGGGCACUAAACAAAUUAUCUGGGAAAGAACCUAUAGAUCAGCUUAUAAAUGGACCUCUUAACAGCAUUGAGAAGGUGGCAGAAAGGCUCAAACGCAGGGUGAUUAGCUCAGAGAAGAAUUUAAGAAGCCUCAGGAGAGAGUUUUUAGGAUGAUACCCUGGAAGAAUGCAUCCUAAGCAAGGUCCUUUUAGAAUUGUGAUCCAUUUCGCCCCUUUUGUCUACCCUAACUGUAGAGGUUAACCGUAAUGUAUUAUUAUCUUCCUCUUUAGAAGUCCCCAGUAAGACUUGCGAAGGCUAUGUGUGUGAAAGCUAAUGACCAUUCUGUUCAAAGCUUUUAUUGCCUGUACCAAUUAUGUCUGUAAACAGCAUAGCCAAGGCCAUCAAUGGACUUCAAAGUA